GACAAAUAUUUGGGAAAGUGUGAUGAAAGGGAUGGGAGGAGGAGGGGGGAGGCCAGAACCCAGAGAACUCCCGCAGCUCCACAAGCACAACAGGAAAUGGAGGAGGCUGUGGGCUGUGGGAAGGGAAGCCGGGGAGCCGGGGCUGUGGAAUGUGGGAGGUGGGCCUGGACACCUUUACUCAGCCCAGAGCAUACAGGGAGGCCCAGGGGACAGCGGCUAGGGGCUGGGCCCAGGAGAGGUCCCAUCGAGCAGCCAGGCCUCACAGGUCCUUGGAGACCAGUGAAGCCAGGCUCCCCCCACCCCCACCCCCAGGGUGCAGAUGGGGAAACUGAGGCUCUGAGAAGGUGAGAAGUUUACCCAAGAUUCCACAGCAGAGCCUGUCUGAGAGGGAGACAGAGAGAAAGAGACCUGGAAUGAUAGAAGUAGAAAGAGACAAAGACACAGAGACAGAGAGGAGGUGCCCAGAGAGACAGCACCAGAGGCACUAAGAGACAGAAGCAAGGACAAAGACAGAGACAGAAGCAAGGACAAAGACAGAGACAGAAGCAAGGACAAAGACAGAGACAGAAGCAAGGACAAAGACAGAGACAGACUGAAUGGGGUGGCCCUUGCUCUCCUCUAUCUUGGAAGACACACCUCAGGUCCCAAGAGACCACCAGGAGCCAAGUAUGCCAAGAGUCUGCCUGCAGCAUUGGCAGGAAGGACGCCAGAGGACAGGGGUCGCAGAGCAUGAGCUUUGGGAGGUGACGGCAUGAUGAGGCAACAAGGAGCCUCCUCUGGCUGUGGGGCUGCCCAGCCUGGCCUGCCUCUGAAGGCCAUGCCCAGCUUGCCCCUACCUCCCCAUCUCACCCCUUUUAGUUUUCAGUUUAGGUCUGCAGACCGGGUUCAGGCCCCAGCAUGCCACCUCUUGUGCCAUCGCUCUCCCUGUGGCCUAAGUCCCCAGCUCUGGAAGUGGAUGAUGACGUGGAAUGACACGGUGCCUACGUGAUAAGAGGAAGUGAGGUGAUGGCGUAAGAAUUGUGAAGUAGCGUUAGGCUACUACUGACCUCCAGACAUUAUCAGAAGGAUCAGGUCAUCUGCUCCAAGUGAUCCUGGACCACCGAGCCAUGAUGGUGUUGAUGGCUGGAUGUCAGUAGUGGACUUUGUUGAUGACUAACAGGUACCUACAAAGUCCCCUGAACAAAGCAGCAGAAAUCGACUAAGAUGGGGCCUGGCGUGUGCUCCCGCUGCUCUGGAAGUCCAAACUGGAUGGAAGAAUAGCGCUGGUUCCCUGGAAGGCUGCUAAGCCCCCUGCACCCCCUCCUCCAGCACAGGCUCGGCUGCCUCUGGCUAUCCCACCGCCAAUCUCCUCACCUCCAAUCUGUCCCCUCCACCUGUUCUCACACCCCAGCCAGAGGGACCUUUCUGAAAUACCUAUGUGACCUCUCCGGCCCUCCUCUGCUCUCCAUCCCCCUCAGGCAAAGGCUGGCUUCUCUGCCCAGCCUUUCAGAAUCUUCCGGCCCGGCCCUGACAGCUCCCUCACAACUGAGGGAGGAAGGCGGCUGCCCCUCCAGCUCCCCAGGGCCCAAGCCAGGCCCUCACACUCGUCACUCACUGCAUGCUCCUCUCCCCAUGAGGCCUCCCCAGGGAACACAAUGGAAAGAAAUGACCUAUUUUCUGGAAGUCCAAAAUAAGAUGAAACAUCUGUCUGGAAUGGGGCCAGGCUGAUAAAGAACGGGCUGAUCUCCCCAGCCCGAGCCCCGCUCUCCUGCAGCAAACACCCCCUCACCCGUCAGAGUGCCUGUGCUUGGGGGUGGGGGCAGCGAUGCGGCUGGCUACUUGGAACAGUGCGUGGGAAAGCGCUCAGUGUGUGCCUCACGGCUGCUGGGGGCCCAAGGGAGGGGGCCUGGGUCCCCAGGAAGGCUGGGAAGCAGCCUGAGAAGGAGGUCAGUGAGGGAGGGAGGCCUGCUGCACACCCCUGCCCACCGGCUGCAGAGCAAGCACUUCCUGCCUCCUGCGGUGCCUUGAGGGUUACCCCCAGGGCCCUGUGGAUUCCUGGCCCUGAGUCCCCCCACCCACCCCGGCCCCAUCUGGGCCUCCAACAGCCUUAAAAAUAACAAUAAUAAUAAUAGCUACCUCUGAUUUAGUACAGUUGACCCUUGAACUACACAGGUUUGAACUGUGCAGGUCCACUAACACGUGAAUGUUCCACACAUGUGAAACAUCCACCUCCUUCCCACCCUUCCACUCCUCCACCUCUUCCGCCUCUGCCACCCCUGAAAGCAAGGCCAACCCUUCCUCUUCCUCCUCCUUCCCAGUCUACUUAACGUGCAGACAAGGGUGAAGACUUUUUCAGUGAUCUACUUCCACUUAAUAUAAACUGAAUGUAUUUUCUCUUCCUUGUGAUUUUCUUUCAUCUAGCUUACUUUAUUGUAAGAACAUAGUAUAUAAUAUACAUAACAGACAAAAUAUGUGUUAAUUGACUUUACAUUAUCAGUAAGGCCCACAGUAGGCUGGCUAUUAGCAGUUAAGUUUUUGGGGAGUCAAAAGCUAUACAUGAAUUUUCAACUUUGCAGUUGGUGGCUGUCCCCAGCCCCCUCAUUGUUCAAGGGUCUGCUGUACUUAUCACCCACUAUCUAUGCUAAGCUCCUUAUAUGAAUGAUCUCACCAAGUCCUCAGAACAAUCCCAUGACAUCAGUACUGCUUCCUCAUUUUACAGAUGUGGAAACUGAGGCACAGACUGUUUACAUUGUUUGCCCAAAAGCUUGCCAGUGGUGUCUCCAGUGUUUAAUACUGGGCAGACAGGCUCCAGAGCACACAGCCCAAUGCCCAUGAGACAGCCCCUCUGUGGCAGGAGGCAAAGAUAAGGAGCCCCGCAAAAAGGACAGCCCAGUACCUGGCACAGAACAAGCUCAAAUAAAAAAAAAUAAAAGUUAAUUAGCCAGGCGUGGUGGAGGGAGCCUGUAAUCCCAGCUUCUCGGGAGGCUGAGUCAGGAGAAUUGCUUGAACCCGAGAUCGCGCCACUGCACUCCAGCCUGGGCAACAAGAGUGAAACUCCG
rnacentral:lncRNA from 1 species